AUUGAACGCUGGCGGCAGGCCUAACACAUGCAAGUCGAACGAGUGGCGGACGGGUGAGUAAUGUCUGGGAAAAUGCCCGAUGGAGGGGGAUAACUACUGGAAACGGUAGCUAAUACCGCAUACCAUCGGAUGUGCCCAGAUGGGAUUAGCUAGUUGGUGGGGUAACGGCUCACCUAGGCGCCGAGCCCUAGCUGGUCUGCGAGGAUGACCAGACACACUGGAACUGGGACACGGUCCAGACUCUUACGGGAGGAAGCAGUGGGGAAUAUUGCACAGUGGGCGCUAGCCUGAUGCAGCCAUUCCGCGUGUAUGAAGAAGGCCUGCGGGUUGUAAAGGACUUGCAGCGAGGAGGCGUUACUCGCAGAAGAAGCACCGGCUAACUCCGUGCCAGCAGCCGCGGUAAUUC
rnacentral:rRNA from 1 species